AGCAGGGUCGGCAGUGAAGAGCAGAGAAAGGCAGUUGGGGAUGUUGCCACUGUCCCCCGAGACCACCCACCCUGCCAUGGAGACGAGGGAGCUGUCCCUUCGCGGAGGGGGGCAGGCCGGUGGGAAGGACAGAGUGGACUGGUCGAGGACCACUGAGCUCAGGACCCAAGGAGGACUCUCCUAGGAGACGAGAGAGCAAACGCCAGGGACCCAGUGCAGGCCUGCUCCUCCGUUUGCAAGCAGGCUCCCUCCCCGAGGCCGUUCAGAAGCAUUCCUCAGCGGGUCCUACACGUUUCCUCCCCCAUGUCAAGUUUAGAAGCAGUGUCAAGACCCACAGCAGUCCUGUGGGAGUUUUAAGGGAUGCACGGAGUUUAUGGGGACAGUUUGGAAAACUGACAUUCAUGUGACUUAGAGUCCUACUACUUGAAAAUGGAUUCCAGCUCUCAACGAAUUUAGAGCUUUGGCAAAAUUUUUAAGAUUUCUUUGAUGUCCGAUGUGCUCAUUUCUUGGUUUGUUCUUGAGUAUUUUAUGGAUUUUUAUGAAAUCCACAGUUUUUGUUAUAAUGAGUGGGACACUUUCCCAUAAAAUGUUGUAAUUCUGUAUUGCUGUUUUAAUAAACACUGUUGAUUGAUGUAUAUUGAUGUUACACUUGGUCACUUGUAAUUGUAAUAGUUUGUCCAUUCAUUAUUUUGAACUUUUUAGGUAAACAGUCAUAUAAUUAUGCAAAUAAUUAUAGUUGUGUCUCUGCCUUUCUAAUAUUUAUACUUUGUAUAUAUUAGCAUGUUGGCCAGGACUCCAGUAUAAAAUCAAGCAUCUUUCUCUUGUUUCUGACUAAUGCAAAUGAUUCUAAUGCAGGGGUUUCCAAACUGGUGGCCGGGGGGCCAAAUCCAGCCAAUGGUCUCUUCUUGUAAAUAAAGUUUUAUUGGAACACAGUUAUCGCCCAUUCUUCUACAGAUUGUCUGAUGGCUACUUUCACGCCACAGCAGUAAUGUUAAAUAGUCCAGACAGAGGCAGUAUUGCCUGAAAAACCUAGAAUAUUCACGAUCUGAGCCUUUGCAGAAAAGUUUGCUAAUAUCUGUUCUCAUGUAUUAAAUACGUUUGUUACAGGUUAAGGAAGUUUCUGACUAUUUUUAGCUUUCUGAAUAUCUUGUGGUUGUGUGUGCUUUAAAAUUAGGACUAAGUAUUAAAUUUACCAGAUGCUUGUUAGGGGCCUAUCUUUUGAGAUGCCCAAAGUUUCCCUUUUUCAGUCUCUUCAUGUAGUGAGUUGUACUAACAGAUUCUCUAAUGUUGAACCAUCUUUGCUUUCCGGAGAUAGACUUUACUUGCUCCUGAUGGAUUGGAUUCUGUUUGUUAAUACUUUUAUUUUUGGGUAGUUACAUCCCUAUUAUAAAUAAUAUGUCAGCAUCA
rnacentral:lncRNA from 1 species